rnacentral:rRNA from 1 species
UACGGGGGGGGUAAGCGUUGUUCGGAAUUACUGGGCGUAAAGGGCUCGUAGGCGGCCAACUAAGUCAGACGUGAAAUCCCUCGGCUUAACCGGGGAACUGCGUCUGAUACUGGAUGGCUUGAGUUCGGGAGAGGGAUGCGGAAUUCCAGGUGUAGCGGUGAAAUGCGUAGAUAUCUGGAGGAACACCGGUGGCGAAGGCGGCAUCCUGGACCGACACUGACGCUGAGGAGCGAAAGCCAGGGGAGCAAACGGG